AUCUAGUUAAAAAUAUCCCUAAGUGUCGUUUUGCUGAAUGGCUAAGAUAACAACAGCAACAAAAAUAUCUCCAGCCAUACAUCAAGCCACCUAAAAAUUCUUUGGGGAUCAAUUCCUCCCCUUCUGUAGCAAAGUAGCACGUGUAUAUCUACCACAAAUCUAAAGGCAAAUAGACUUGUUCACUUGUCCUUGCAAUGAAGCAUCUGCUAACUAUUUUUUCAUUGUUGUUAUUUUUUUUCGAAUGCUCCAAUUCAAAAACAUCAUCCUGCCACCUUUUUUAGUUGUUGAAUCUCUCCUUCCCCACGCCUACAUCUCUGUGCACCAGAAAAACGAUCUCAUUAAUGAACUCGUUCUGUGCGUCCUUAACACGAGGCCCCUCGCCUGCAGCUGGAGGCAGCUCUCUGCUCAGCCCGCAGUGCAGAGUGACACAGACAGGCGACAUCGUCACUGAGCACCAACUUCUAUUACACCCAGGCAGACGGCGAGAACCGCAUCAGAACCUCGGCGAGACAGGAGAGGAGCAAAGGGGUAGCUGCAAAGUUUUGGACAAGACCUCUGCCGGGACUGGAAGCACAGUGUACCCAGGUGGAGCCCAACCUCUCAGUAUCUUUCCUUCAGGCAAACUGACAAGGCUGGAUAUAGUCAAUGACUCAAGUGGAUUUGAUUGCCUAAGAGGUGCAAGUCUCUGAAUACACAUCCCAGAUGCAGAGCAGGAAUAGUCAUCCUCAGUCUGCUUUUUAGAAGUUACCGUUUUAUAAUAAUUAAGAUUAGCCCUGAGCUAACAUCUGCUGCCAAUCCUCCUCUUUUUGCUGAGGAAGACGGGCCCUGAGCUAACAUCCGUGCGCAUCUGCCUCUACUUUAUAUGUGGGACGCCUACGACACCAUGGCUUGACAAGCGGUGUGUAGGUCUGCACCCAGGACCCGAACCAGUGAACCCCAGGCCACGGAAGCGGAACAUGUGAACUUAACCACUGCAGCACCAGUCCCCCUCAAGUUGGUUACUUUUAAGCACCAAAACCCAAUUCUUUCUUAUGUUUAAAUAUUUAGAUGAAUAGCAAGGCAAUUUAUCCUGCACUCGGCAAAUUAUGUCUCAACCAAAGUCUACAAUCGUCCUGGCUCCUCACAUUCACAGCAGAAUGUUCUGAGAAUCCAGAUGGUCCAGUGAGUGUCUGGGGCACAGAAGGUAAAGGGCCUAGGGAUCUUAGGAGGAAAAGAAAAUGCUGAGGGGAGCAAACUCUCUCACCAUCACUGAGAGAACAAACCUGAUGGAGAUCAAAAUGUAUUUGUCCAUAGAGCCCAUCCAUCUACUUCUUUUCUUCUGUUCUUAAAGAAAAAUAGACAUAUGUAAAUCUAAAGAAAGUAGUUUUGAAAAAACUUUUGGCAAUACAGAGUAUAAUUACAGCCUGUUGGAGAUCAAAAGAUCACCAUGCCUGCCCCCUGCUACCCUUUGCUGCCGCUUGCUUGCUCGGGAAGAGGCUUCCUCUCCCCCAAGCCCGGCACGCAGCUCUCUCUCCUUCAGUCUAUUCUUGGCUGUGGAGUCCCCUGUGCUCUUUCUGCACUUUAAGUUUAAUUUUGCAUUUAAAAACUCAAUUGGCUCAUCUGUUAAGCAUUAAGCAGCUCCCUUUUGAGCCACAGGGGGAGCCCUGGGAAAACCCACAGCUGCUGGAACAUGGAAAAUGGGUUUAAAAAAACAAAACCAUUUUGAAACUUUAAAGCAUUUUAGCAGCCGUGGAUUUCCCAAUCCUUACCCCCCAAAUGGUUCAUCUGUUUAACUUUUAUCUGGUAUUGGAAAACACAAACCAGAGCAUUAAAUAGCCCUCAAAUGACUUUUUGUUUAAUACAAAAUGAAAGUAAAAGCUAAGCAAGCCAUGUGGGAGGAUCUUUUGGAGAGCUAUGGCCUGGAAUACCUGCAAGCAUAUUCUCCCUCCACUAACAGAAACAGUUCCGAAACCCAGGCAUGCCUGCUAGAGCCACAGCCUUUCCUCCACCCACUUAGACACACCCCCCCAAAAAGGGGGAGGAAACAAGUCUGAUUCUCAGCUUCUAAAAUGGCAAUAAAUUGAUGGAAAAGUUAAUAGGAUGAGAAUAUUAGUGAAAUGCUCAAUCAAGAUUUGAAGUUUCAUAAUGAUUUGUCAUUGACUAUUGAUUACAUUGGAUAGGCUCUAGAUAAAUUUAAAUAUCCCUUUUUCCCCACGUUCCCCAAAUAUUCCUCUGGCUAACCUGAAGUCUCCCUGUGGUAGAAUCCCAAGUCCCAUGGUUAGAUACCAAUUCCUCUGAAUGAUGGUAAGACGCUCCUGUUAAAACCAAAAUAUUCUUUGGAAGAUUGACAGCAGUAAACUUAUUUUUUACUAUUAAUACCUAAUAGAGGCAAAAGUCCCACAUUGCAAAACAAAAUAAUGCAACGCUGUGUAAAUAGAAGAGGUGAAAAAGAGAUGUUUGAAUCAGGGGAAACUACCCAAGGAAAUUUCUUCAACCUGGGUGGAACCUGCAAUGAGAAGUCCAGUGUGACCAAGGGAUCGAGGGUGUAGGCACUGGAGCACGGGAGUGAAGAAAAGACCUAAGAUACAUCAGUCCCUACUAAGGGCUAUCCUGUGUUAAGAAAAGACAACAGGCCCAAAAUGUGUUACAGAAACCAAAGAGAAUUCACCUCCUAGCGAGUUAAAUCAGACUCUCUACCAGAAGUAGUUGUCUCACAAAGUAAAGUAUACUUGUGGCAAAUGGGAGACCAUACGGUAUCAUUUCCAGAGUCAAGGCCCCCCGAACAAUGGGAAACAGGGACGGUUAUUUGGCAGGGGGAAUGAAUAUUCAAACAGGAGAGAUGGGUAUUCACUUGUGCAGGCUCAGCUGGAAAACAUGCUUCCACAUACACUGCAGGUUGUGGUCAUGAGGUCUAAGCUCCUCCUGGAGAGAUCUCAGUACUACAAAUAAGGCAAAGGUCAUAGGCGUAGCUUUUGUGGUGAGGCUUGGUCUGGUUCAGGGUGGUUGGUGGUUGCAUCUCCUUAACACAACAAAAGGAAAAAAAAAAAAGCUAUUUGGAAAAGAGUUAAAUGCUUCCAAAUCCCCACUCUUGAGUUCCUCAGGGCAACUUGCUGGUGACAAAUGGAGUCGCUUAUGCUAAACUCCACAUCAUCAAACCAAGACUUAACUUAAUUACAACUUUGGCUCUCCCAGAAAUGGAAACUUAAACCAGUCAAUUAGGAAUCGCCUGAUCAGCAUUAGUUGGGUCAUCUGCCUGACAGACCCCUGCUGUUCCUUAAAGGAAAGUAAACUUGCAGUAACCAACUCGCUUUUUUGCCUGGUCUAACUUCCUUGUUCCUGCUCCCUUCCACCUAUAGAAGUUUUGCAUUUUGUACAGCUCCUCGGGGCUCCUUUCUAUCUGUUAAACAGGAUGCUCCCAAUUCAAGUCGAGUUUUUCUCAAAUAAACUCUUAAAAUUUUUAAUAUGCUUCGGUUUAUCUUUUGACACCUCACUGAAGAGAGGAAAGGGAAAAAUCCAUGUGGGGGAAGAGGCAUAAUCACAAGGAAGUUGGGGAGACACCAGAGAAACUCUUCACUAACUUCUUUGCAUGGCUCAGGUCCUGAUGAGAAUCACUGAAUUCUCGUAUAGAACUUGCACUUUUUUAACCCACAGGAUUAUGAUAGUCCAAAUCAGAUGAAUAAAUGAAGUCCAGAAUAUUUUUCAUCCAAAAUUCCUCAUUCUAUUUGACAAAUAAAAAUGGCAAGCAAUAGGAUAUAUUGGAGAAUAUGAGGAAGCCAUUUGGUGUAAACCUAAUUCGGCCUGACCUUGUCUUUCCAAAAGGGCCUGACCGAGGCCAUUGAGCAUGCAUUGUAUAUCUGCUUUAGAGAUUCCCUAUGGCAGGAGCAAAAGGCCCUUGAGAUAAAGGUGCAACUUCUCUCCCCCUCCCAACGUUGGCGUCUCCUUAAGGAUUAAGUAUUUUUCCUUAGGCUAGAAACUGAUUACUGCACUCACCUGUGACCGCCCAGCUGGAGACAAUAGACUUGCCUCCUGCUACACCCUCCGAGAGAGCAGACCCACUACCUGCUGUGUCCAUCAAGUGCUGUGCCGACAGGGCAAUCUUGUGACUAUUGUGGGAGGGACAUUUCAAUCAUAUGUGAAACACUCUCUUUGAGGGUAUAUAACCGUCCUGUGUACCCCCACUUCUUUGGAGUGCUCUGUUCCUUUGUGGAAAGACUCUCCCAGGUUAUAAUCCUAAGAUUUAAGCUCAGAAUAAACUCACCCAAAUUUUCAUUUAUAGAUUGGUUAUGGAUUAUUUUCGUCAACAUACUGGUCAUUGUCAGAUUUAGGAGUAAAAUUAAGUAAUUCCUGACUCAAGUCCAAUUUUUAUCUUGGGAUAUCUUCUCUGAGAUGUCUCAUGUUGCUUGGGGUGGGAUGGAGUGGUUAGUGUGUGAGGAAUAUAUUUAUGGAGAAUUUUCCACUCAGCACUUUUAAAUAAACGUAUUUUCUAAGUUGUCAAUUUCAAUUUUUAUUUCAUAUUAUUUUCUUCUUUCUCUCUGGUAUAUCCAUAAAUAUUUUUUCAUAU
ensembl:lncRNA